AUCACUGUCCUGAAUGUCACCCCCACUUUCAGGAAGGAGAAACUGAGCCCCGCGGACGGAAAGGCGCAAGGGCUGCUGGUAGAUGGGAGGGCUGGGCUCGAACCCCAGUCCGUCCACCUCCAGAGCCCCAGGCCUUGAUACUUCCGGGGCCAGGCGCCACUCUCCUCAGUGCCUCGGCCGCGCGUGGGGGCCGCCAUGUUGCUUCAGGCCAACUCGGAGCCGCGCUCCGCGCUUCUCCUCCACGUGCUCUCAAGACUCACCGGAGGAGAAGCAGGAUACCUUCCACACUGAAUAAUGUUCCAUCAUCUGGAUGUUUUCGGGCGGACAUCCCUUUUCAAAGCAUUUGAGUAAAUAACAAGGAGCAAGACUGCUGGAUCAUAGAGCAAGAGGACAUUUCCUUUUGUGAGGAAUCUCCAAACUGUCUUCCGAAGUGCCCGUACUACUGUGAGCAUCCCCACCAGCAAAGUAAGUGAGUUCCCAUCGCUCCGUGUCCUCACCAGCAUUUGGCGUUGUCUGUGCUGUUCUAACAGGUCAUGGACGAUACAACUUCCAGCUGCCUCUCUCUCAGGAUGUUCAUCCCUGGGACCCAGACACCAUGCUAUAUGAAGGCCCAAAUCAACCACGCGGAGAGAUCCAUGUGGAGAGAAACUGAGGCCCAGCCUACAAGCAGCCUCAACCACCACCUAUGGGAGUGAGGGAGCCUCCCGAGGUCUUCCAGCUGCAGCCCUACUGAUAAGGAAGAUCAGAGACAAGCCACCAUGGCUGCCGUGCUCUGUCCGAAUUCCUGACCCAUGGCAUCUGUAAGCAUAAUAAACAGUUGC